rnacentral:lncRNA from 1 species
AAAGAAGAAAGAAAGGGAUCCUGAACUCUAUCAUCGCAUGGUGGCUGCUGUCCAAGUUGCCAAGGGAUGCACCUGCUGAUAACAUGAUAGUCUAAAUAUCUUGAUGUGCAUAGCAACAAAUGAAUCAUAGAAUACCACCAAGAUGAUCAUCUUGCUUCUAAAGGCAGAAGGGCUUUGAACCUCUAGCUGGUAAGUUGUAGUUUCCAUGUGUAAUUUCAGUAGGUGAUAGCACAGUAACAUAGGGAACGUUUA